rnacentral:tRNA from 1 species
AUUUACUUAAUAUAUUAAGUAUAACUGACUUCCAAUCAGUAAGUUUGUAAAACAAAGUAAGUA